rnacentral:rRNA from 1 species
AUGAUGGAAGCGGGCAAGUUCCCCGGGAUAAUUGGUGCCGUAAGCGGCCAGGACGGUGGCGUCAACUUCUGCGACAUGGCAUACUACCAGAAGCUAGGGGAGGGCUCCACCAUGUCCAUUGAUAGCCUUAACAGCAUGCAGACCAGCAUGCACGGUGGUUCCAUAAUGUCUGUGGACAACAGUAGUGUUGGUUCUACUGACUCGCGUACUGGGAUGCUUAACCAUCCUAGCCACAGGGGAGCUGUUGCUGUGGUCAGCUACUCGGUUGGGAACAGCAUUUUCCGUCCUGGGCGGGUGUCUCAUGCCUUGAGUGAUGAUGCGUUGGCACAGGCUUUGAUGGACACUAGAUUCCCGACUGAGACACUCAAGGAUUAUGAGGAGUGGACCAUUGAUUUGGGGAAGCUCCACAUGGGAUUGCCCUUUGCACAAGGCGCAUUUGGGAAGCUAUACAGGGGGACCUACAAUGGGAUGGAUGUUGCCAUUAAGCUUUUGGAGAGGCCCGAGGCUGACCCCGCACAAGCUCAGCUGCUGGAGCAACAGUUUGUGCAAGAAGUUAUGAUGCUUGCAGAAUUAAGGCAUCCAAAUAUAGUCAAGUUCGUUGGCGCAUGCAGGAAGCCAAUAGUUUGGUGCAUUGUCACAGGGUAUGCAAAGGGUGGAUCUGUUAGGAAUUUCCUGAAUAGGAGGCAGAACAGGUCUGUUCCACUGAAGCUGGCAGUGAAGCAGGCACUAGAUGUUGCACGUGGCAUGGCUUAUGUUCAUGGCCUUGGGUUCAUCCACAGAGAUCUUAAGUCAGAUAACCUCUUGAUUUCUGGUGAUAAAUCGAUCAAGAUCGCUGACUUCGGAGUUGCUAGGAUUGAAGUGAAGACCGAGGGGAUGACACCUGAAACAGGAACAUACCGUUGGAUGGCUCCUGAGAUGAUCCAGCACAGACCAUACAAUCAGAAAGUUGAUGUCUACAGUUUUGGCAUUGUCCUGUGGGAGCUAAUAACCGGGACCCUUCCUUUUCCAAACAUGACAGCAGUGCAAGCUGCAUUUGCUGUGGUGAACAAGGGUGUCCGCCCAGCCAUACCCCAUGACUGCCUACCUGCCCUUGGGGAGAUCAUGACAAGGUGCUGGGAUGCAAACCCCGAUGUCCGCCCCCCUUUUACCGAUGUUGUGAGAAUGCUGGAGCGUGUGGAGAUGGAGGUCCUGAAAAAUGUCCGCAAGGCCAGAUUCCGAUGUUGCAUCUCCCAACCCAUGACCUUAGACUAA